rnacentral:tRNA from 1 species
CCUUCGAUAGCUCAGUUGGUAGAGCGGUGGACUGUAGUUGGCCAAAAACAAAAUCAGAAAUCCAUAGGUCGCUGGUUCAAAUCCGGCUCGAAGGA